GACGAACGCUGGCGGCGUGCCUAAUACAUGCAAGUAGAACGCUGAAGGAGGAGCUUACUUCUCUGGAUGAGUUGCGAACGGGUGAGUAACGCGUAGGUAACCUGCCUGGUAGCGGGGGAUAACUAUUGGAAACGAUAGCUAAUACCGCAUAAGAGUAGAUGUUGCAUGACAUUUACUUAAAAGGUGCAAUUGCACCACUACCAGAUGGACCUGCGUUGUAUUAGCUAGUUGGUGGGGUAACGGCUUACCAAGGCGACGAUACAUAGCCGACCUGAGAGGGUGAGCGGCCACACUGGGACUGGGAAACGGCCCAGACUCCUACGGGGGGCAGCAGUAGGGAAGCUUCGGCAAUGGACGGAAGUCUGACCGAGAAACGCCGCGUGAGUGAAGAAGGUUUUCGGAUCGUAAAGCUCUGUUGUAAGAGAAGAACGAGUGUGAGAGUGGAAAGUUCACACUGUGACGGUAUCUUACCAGAAAGGGACGGCUAACUACGUGCCAGCCGCCGCCGUAA
rnacentral:rRNA from 1 species